GGGGAAUAUUGCACAAUGGGGGAAACCCUGAUGCAGCGAUGCCGCGUGGAGGAAGAAGGUUUUCGGAUUGUAAACUCCUGUUGAAGAGGACGAUAAUGACGGUACUCUUUUAGAAAGCUCCGGCUAACUACGUGCCAGCAGCCGCGGUAAUACGUAGGGAGCGAGCGUUGUCCGGAAUUACUGGGUGUAAAGGGAGCGUAGGCGGGAUGGCAAGUCAGAUGUGAAAACUAUGGGCUCAACCCAUAGACUGCUUUCAAAACUGUUUUUCUUGAGUAGUGCAGAGGUAGGCGGAAUUCCCGGUGUAGCGGUGGAAUGCGUAGAUAUCGGGAGGAACACCAGUGGCGAAGGCGGCCUACUGGGCACCAACUGACGCUGAGGCUCGAAAGUGUGGGUAGCAAACAGGAUUAGAUACCCUGGUAGUCCACACCGUAAACGAUGAUUACUAGGUGUUGGAGGAUUGACCCCUUCAGUGCCGCAGUUAACACAAUAAGUAAUCCACCUGGGGAGUACGACCGCAAGGUUGAAACUCAAAGGAAUUGACGGGGGCCCGCACAAGCAGUGGAGUAUGUGGUUUAAUUCGACGCAACGCGAAGAACCUUACCAAGUCUUGACAUCCUGCGACGCACAUAGAAAUAUGUGUUUCCUUCGGGACGCAGAGACAGGUGGUGCAUGGUUGUCGUCAGCUCGUGUCGUGAGAUGUUGGGUUAAGUCCCGCAACGAGCGCAACCCUUAUGGUCAGUUACUACGCAAGAGGACUCUGGCCAGACUGCCGUUGACAAAACGGAGGAAGGUGGGGAUGACGUCAAAUCAUCAUGCCCUUUAUGACUUGGGCUACACACGUACUACAAUGGCGUUAAACAAAGAGAAGCAAGACCGCGAGGUGGAGCAAAACUCAGAAACAACGUCCCAGUUCGGACUGCAGGCUGCAACUCGCCUGCACGAAGUCGGAAUUGCUAGUAAUCGUGGAUCAGCAUGCCACGGUGAAUACGUUCCCG
rnacentral:rRNA from 1 species